AGAGUUUGAUCCUGGCUCAGGACGAACGCUGGCGGCGCGCCUAACACAUGCAAGUCGAACGAGCGAGAGAGAGCUUGCUUUCUCAAGCGAGUGGCGAACGGGUGAGUAACGCGUGAGGAACCUGCCUCAAAGAGGGGGACAACAGUUGGAAACGACUGCUAAUACCGCAUAAGCCCACGGCUCGGCAUCGAGCAGAGGGAAAAGGAGCAAUCCGCUUUGAGAUGGCCUCGCGUCCGAUUAGCUAGUUGGUGAGGUAAUGGCCCACCAAGGCGACGAUCGGUAGCCGGACUGAGAGGUUGAACGGCCACAUUGGGACUGAGACACGGCCCAGACUCCUACGGGAGGCAGCAGUGGGGAAUAUUGCACAAUGGGGGAAACCCUGAUGCAGCGACGCCGCGUGGAGGAAGAAGGUCUUCGGAUUGUAAACUCCUGUUGUUGAGGAAGAUAAUGACGGUACUCAACAAGGAAGUGACGGCUAACUACGUGCCAGCAGCCGCGGUAAAACGUAGGUCACAAGCGUUGUCCGGAAUUACUGGGUGUAAAGGGAGCGCAGGCGGGAAGACAAGUUGGAAGUGAAAUCUAUGGGCUCAACCCAUAAACUGCUUUCAAAACUGUUUUUCUUGAGUAGUGCAGAGGUAGGCGGAAUUCCCGGUGUAGCGGUGGAAUGCGUAGAUAUCGGGAGGAACACCAGUGGCGAAGGCGGCCUACUGGGCACCAACUGACGCUGAGGCUCGAAAGUGUGGGUAGCAAACAGGAUUAGAUACCCUGGUAGUCCACACCGUAAACGAUGAUUACUAGGUGUUGGAGGAUUGACCCCUUCAGUGCCGCAGUUAACACAAUAAGUAAUCCACCUGGGGAGUACGACCGCAAGGUUGAAACUCAAAGGAAUUGACGGGGGCCCGCACAAGCAGUGGAGUAUGUGGUUUAAUUCGACGCAACGCGAAGAACCUUACCAAGUCUUGACAUCCUGCGACGCACAUAGAAAUAUGUGUUUCCUUCGGGACGCAGAGACAGGUGGUGCAUGGUUGUCGUCAGCUCGUGUCGUGAGAUGUUGGGUUAAGUCCCGCAACGAGCGCAACCCUUACUGUCAGUUACUACGCAAGAGGACUCUGGCAGGACUGCCGUUGACAAAACGGAGGAAGGUGGGGAUGACGUCAAAUCAUCAUGCCCUUUAUGACUUGGGCUACACACGUACUACAAUGGCGUUAAACAAAGAGAAGCAAGACCGCGAGGUGGAGCAAAACUCAGAAACAACGUCCCAGUUCGGACUGCAGGCUGCAACUCGCCUGCACGAAGUCGGAAUUGCUAGUAAUCGUGGAUCAGCAUGCCACGGUGAAUACGUUCCCGGGCCUUGCACACACCGCCCGUCA
rnacentral:rRNA from 1 species